CGGGUGCACUGAUCCAGCCGGGCCUUUCCCUCUGUGGAACCCCAUGGCCUUCACUGGCUGUGGCGGGGAAACAGGACUUUUACUUUGAAAAAAUUAGAGUGCUCCAGGCAGGCCUAUGCUCGAAUACAUUAGCAUGGAAUAAUAGAAUAGGACGUGUGGUUCUAUUUUGUUGGUUUCUAGGACCGCCGUAAUGAUUAAUAGGGACAGUCGGGGGCAUCAGUAUUCAAUUGUCAGAGGUGAAAUUCUUGGAUCUAUUGAAGACUAACUACUGCGAAAGCAUUUGCCAAGGAUGUUUUCAUUGAUAAGGAACGAAAGUUAGGGGAUCGAGGACGAUCAGAUACCGUCGUAGUCUUAACUAUAAACUAUGCCGACUAGGGAUCGGACGAUGUUAUUCUUUGACGCGUUCGGCACCUUUCGAGAAAUCAAAGUGCUUGGGCUCCAGGGGGAGUAUGGUCGCAAGGCUGAAACUUAAAGAAAUUGACGGAAGGGCACCACCAGGGGUGGAACCUGCGGCUUAAUUUGACUCAACACGGGGAAACUCACCAGGUCCAGACACAGUGAGGAUUGACAGAUUGAGAGCUCUUUCUUGAUUCUGUGGGUGGUGGUGCAUGGCCGUUCUUAGUUGGUGGAGUGAUUUGUCUGCUUAAUUGCGAUAACGAACGAGACCUUAACCUGCUAAAUAGCCCGUACUGCUUUGGCAGUUCGCCGGCUUCUUAGAGGGACUAUCGG
rnacentral:rRNA from 1 species